UGAGGAAUAUUGGUCAAUGGGCGGGAGCCUGAACCAGCCAAGUAGCGUGAAGGAUGAAGGUUCUAUGGAUUGUAAACUUCUUUUACAGGGGAAUAAAGUGCACCACGUGUGGUGUUUUGUAUGUACCCUAUGAAUAAGGACCGGCUAACUCCGUGCCAGCAGCCGCGGUAAUACGGAGGGUCCAAGCGUUAUCCGGAAUAACUGGGCGUAAAGGGAGUGUAGGCGGCUCUGCAAGUUAAGUGUGAAAGCCCACGGCUCAACCGUGGAACUGCACUUAAAACUGUAGGGCUGGAGUGCAGGAGAGGUAAGUGGAAUUCCUAGUGUAGCGGUGGAAUGCGUAGAUAUUAGGAGGAACACCAGUGGCGAAGGCGACUUACUGGACUGUAACUGACGCUGAUGCUCGAAAGUGUGGGUAUCAAACA
rnacentral:rRNA from 1 species